rnacentral:rRNA from 1 species
UUAAGUAAGAAAGGGCGUACGGUGGAUGCCUAGGCACUUGAAACUGAAGAAGGACGCAACAAACGGCGAAACGCGGCGGGGAGCUGUACGUAAGCAAAGAUCCGCCGGUAUCCGAAUGGGGGAACCCGGCAUGCGUAAUAGCAUGUCAUCCGCAGAUGAACAAAUAGUCUGCGAGAGAGGUACCCGGGGAACUGAAACAUCUAAGUACCCGGAGGAAAAGAAAACAACAGUGAUUCCCUGAGUAGCGGCGAGCGAAAGGGGAGGAGCCCAAACCAGACCGAGGUCUGGGGUUGAAGGACCGCGAUACGGCAAGAAUCAUGGUAGGAGAACGGCAUUGAAAGGCCGACCGGAGAGGGUGCAAGUCCCGUAUCCGAAACCGUGAGGAAGCCCAGCGGGAUCCUGAGUACGGCGAGACACGAGAAAUCUUGUCGGAAGCAGGCGGGACCAUCCGUCAAGGCUAAAUAUAAGCAAGUGACCGAUAGUGAACCAGUACCGUGAGGGAAAGGUGAAAAGAACCGCGGGAGCGGAGUGAAACAGAACCUGAAACCGUAUGCUUACAAGAAGUCAGAGCACGUUAAGGUGUGAUGGCGUGCCUUUUGUAGAAUGAACCGGCGAGUUAUGUUAUCGUGCGAGGUUAAGCAGGAGAUGCGGAGCCGAAGCGAAAGCGAGUCUUAAGAGGGCGGCAGUACGAUGACAUAGACCCGAAACCGUGUGAUCUAGCCAUGACCAGGUUGAAGUUCAGGUGAAACUGAAUGGAGGACCGAACCGACCCCCGUUGAAAAGUUGGCGGAUGAGUUGUGGCUAGGGGAGAAAUUCCAAUCGAACACGGAUAUAGCUGGUUCUCCCCGAAAUAGCUUUAGGGCUAGCGUCGAGGAUGAGUCUUGUGGAGGUAGAGCACUGAAUGUACGAUGGCCCCAUCCCGGGGUACUGAGUAUAAUCAAACUCCGAAUGCCAUGAGAUAUUCCCGGCAGUCAGACCGUGGGUGAUAAGGUCCAUGGUCAAAAGGGAAACAGCCCAGACCGCCAGUUAAGGUCCCAAAAUGUAUGCUAAGUGGAAAAGGAUGUGGGGAUGCACAGACAACUAGGAGGUUGGCUCAGAAGCAGCCAUCCUUCAAAGAGUGCGUAACAGCUCACUAGUCGAGUGACCCUGCGCCGAAAAUGUACCGGGGCUAAGCAUACUACCGAAGCUGCGGAUUUGUAGUAAUACAAGUGGUAGGGGAGCGUUCCAUGCACGUGGAAGCCAUACCGAAAGGAGUGGUGGAGAGCAUGGAAGUGAGAAUGCCGGUGUGAGUAGCGAGAUGCAGGUGAGAAUCCUGCACACCGAUAGCCCAAGGAUUCCAGGGGAAGGUUCGUCCGCCCUGGGUAAGUCGGGACCUAAGGCGAGGCCGAAAGGCGUAGUCGAUGGAAAACAGGCAGAUAUUCCUGUACCCGCGAUGGAAAUGAAGGAAUGACGGAGAAGGCUAGCAUGAGCCACUUAUUGGAUUGUGGUCGAAGCGAAUAGCAGGUGCAUAGUAAAAUGCGUGCACGGGAUGUAAAACGUGAUAGGUAAGCGAAACCUUUGGGGAGUAGCGAAGCAUGCGAGGCCAGCUUCCAGGAAAAGUUUCUAGUGCUGAUUCCAUAGCGGCCCGUACCAAAACCGACACAGGUGGGCAAGGAGAGUAUCCUGAGGUGAGCGAGAGAACUGUUGCCAAGGAACUCGGCAAAAUGACUCCGUAAGUUAGCGAGAAGGAGUGCUUAUGAAAGUAAGCCGCAGUGAAGAGGCCCAAGCGACUGUUUAACUAAAACACAGCUCUCUGCGAAGUCGCAAGACGAAGUAUAGGGGGUGACGCCUGCCCGGUGCUGGAAGGUUAAGAGGAUUUGUCAGUUUCGACGAAGCAAUGAAUUGAAGCCCCAGUGAACGGCGGCCGUAACUAUAACGGUCCUAAGGUAGCGAAAUUCCUUGUCAGGUAAGUUCUGACCCGCACGAAAGGCGUAACGAUUUGGGCGCUGUCUCGGCAGCAGACUCGGUGAAAUCUUAGUACCUGUGAAAAUGCAGGUUACCCGCAACUAGACGGAAAGACCCCAUGGAGCUUUACUGCAGCCUGAUAUUGGAUUUUGAUCAGAGAUGUACAGGAUAGGUGGGAGACGAAGAAGGAUGCACGCCAGUGUAUCUGGAGUCGACGUUGGGAUACCACUCUUGUCUGAUUGGAGUUCUAACCUGCGUCCAUGAAGCUGGACGGGGGACCGUGUCAGGCAGGCAGUUUGACUGGGGCGGUCGCCUCCCAAAGAGUAACGGAGGCGCCCAAAGGUACGCUCAGAUUGGACGGAAAUCAAUCGGCGAGUGCAAAUGCAGAAGCGUGCUUGACUGUGAGACAAACAGGUCGAACAGGGACGAAAGUCGGGAUUAGUGAUCCGGCGGUGCCGAAUGGAAGGGCCGUCGCUCAACGGAUAAAAGCUACCCUGGGGAUAACAGGCUGAUCUCGCCCAAGAGUUCACAUCGACGGCGAGGUUUGGCACCUCGAUGUCGGCUCAUCGCAUCCUGGAGCUGAAUUCGGUUCCAAGGGUUGGGCUGUCCGCCCAUUAAAGCGGUACGCGAGCUGGGUUCAGAACGUCGUGAGACAGUUCGGUCCCUAUCUGUUGUGGGCGUAGGAGAUUUGAGGAGAGCUGUCCUUAGUACGAGAGGACCGGGAUGGACCUACCGCUGGUGCACCGGUUGUUGUGCCAACAGCAUAGCCGGGUAGCUAAGUAGGGAAGGGAUAAGCGCUGAAAGCAUCUAAGCGCGAAGCCUACUCCAAGAUGAGAUCUCCCAUACGCAAGUAGUAAGACCCCUUGAAGACGACGAGGUAGAUAGGUCAGGGAUGGAAGCGCAGCGAUGCGUGGAGUUGACUGAUACUAAUAGGUCGAGGACUUAAUC